CAGCCACACAGGUCUCAGCCAGGGCUCUCUACCUGCGCUCGGGACUGGAAAAGCUGGGCACAAGGAGGGGCGCGUUGGUUCGUCGCAACAGGCAGCAGAAAGCAGAAAGCGGCCUGGGUCAGCCAGUGGAGAGUGAACAGUUUCCUCUGCCAGUGAUUACCACCCCACCCCACCCCAUCCAUGAACUGCUUUGCCCCCGGCCAAAAGCAAUAGAGUCAGGAGAUUGUGAACUGAAGCUAUGAUACAUCCGGAAUGGUGGCACGCACGGUUAAUCCCAGUACUCAGAAGACUCAGGCAGGAAGAUCGUGGAGUUAACUCCGCCCAUGGUAACUGAGCCAUCAUUUUGGUUAUCUUUUUGUUACUGUGGCAAAAUACCUGGGAUAAUAAACAUUUUUUUUUGUUU